GACGAACGCUGGCGGCGUGCUUAACACAUGCAAGUCGAGCGAGGCCCUCCUUCGGGAGGUGUCCUAGCGGCGAACGGGUGAGUAACACGUGGGCACCCUGCCCCCGCCUCUGGGAAAACUCCAAGAAUUUGGGCCAAUUACCGGAUAUGCCCGCUGACCGCUGGGACUGGUGGAGGAAAGAUUAACAGGCUGUGGAUGCGCCCGCGGCCUAUCAGCUUGUUGGUGGGUUAGUGGCCUACCAAGGCGACGACGGGUAGCCGGCCUGAGAGGGUGACCGGCCACACUGGGACUGAGACACGGCCCAGACUCCUACGGGAGGCAGCAGUGGGGAAUAUUGCGCAAUGGGCGGAAGCCUGACGCAGCGACGCCGCGUGGGGGAUGUCGGCCUUCGGGUUGUAAACCUCUUUCAGCAGGGACGAAGCGCAAGUGACGGUACCUGCAGAAGAAGCACCGGCCAACUACGUGCCAGCAGCCGCCGUAACAC
rnacentral:rRNA from 1 species